AAAUAAAACAACAAUAUAGCAAGGCAUUAUAUUUAUUUUGUGUUCUGUUACCUUACAAAAAAAUAAUAAUACAGUAAUUACAUAAACAAUCAAUUACUUUUUUUCUUUAUUUUAUUUUCGAUCAUGUAUUUUUCUUCAGUAUUUUCGAUCAUAUAUAUUUUGUUCAGUGUUUUCGAUCAUGUAUAUUUUGUUCAGUGUUUUCGAUCAUGUAUUUUUUCUUUAGUGUUUUCGAUCAUAUAUUUUUUUUCUUUAGUGUUUUCGAUCAUAUAUUUUUUUUCUUUAGUGUUUUCGAUCAUAUAUUUUUUUUCUUUAGUGUUUUCGAUCAUAUAUUUUUUUUCUUAAGUGUUUUCGAUCAUAUAUAUUUUUUCUUUAGUGUUUUCGAUCAUAUAUUUUUUUUCUUUAGUGUUUUCGAUCAUACAUUUUUUUUCUUUAGUGUUUUCAAUCAUAUAUUUUUUUUCUUCCUUUCUUUUCAUUUUCAUUUCAUAUAUAUUCAUUUUUUUCCUUAUUUCCUUUCUUUAUCUUAUUUUCCUAUGACAAAUUUUCCUUCCUUCUUCUUCUUCUUCUUUUCUCUCAUUUUUAUUUUUUUUAUUUUUCAUUUCAUAUAUUUUAUUUUUUUCCUAUUUCCUUCCUUUAUUUUCAUUUAUUUUGUCUCAUUUUUAUUAUUUUUCUCCAUUUUCAUUUAUUUUUGUUGUUAUUUUCCUAUUUCCUUCUUUUAUCCAAUUUUCUUUUUCUUCCUUCCUUUCAUCCUUUUUAUCCUUAUUCCUACAUUCACAUUAUUGCACCAAACAGUAAACGUCUCUCUCUCUCUCUCUCUCUCUCUCUCUCUCUCUCUCUCUCUCUCUCUCAACACAAAUCCAAACAGUAAAGCAUUCUCUCUCAACAACAAACAUCGCAAUAAAAAAAAAAAAACAAUAAAACAAUCGUACUGUAACAUCAACUUGAGUACGUAACAUCUUAAACCUUUUGUGAUUGACGUUUCGAUUUCCGCUAAAAUAUGUACAAGUUUUUUCAGUAUACGUAUUGGCGAUGUUAAAAUUGAGUAUACGAGACAUUAUGCGUGUGUAUUCCGAAGACGCUAAAACCCCCACGCACAUACGUAAUACGGCUCACAAACACAACAUACGUAACAUAACAAACACACGUACAUACAGUCAGACGCAUUUUCACUUCCUCGUCAAUCUAUCCGCUAUGUCGCAAAAAUUUGGGGUCGUAUUGAGACAUUUCGUCACCCAAGAACACAUAUUUAACAAGGCUUUCGUAGGAGUUGUAGGCAUUUCCAGGGGUAGUUUUAUGACCCUGGUGUUAGUUUCAUCCUUCCUUUGUACCUUUAGCAUAAAAAAACACUAAUUAGAACCUGAUUGAUCCUCCCUUUGACCCUUAGAUAUAGCUGAUCUGAGAAGUCUUUUAAUACCAGCCUUGAUAUCUUCCACAUUACAAAACCAGAAAUCUCUCUCUCUCUCUCUCUCUCUCUCUCCCUCUCUCACACACACACAAACGUACACUAGUUAAACAUUCUGAAUCCUAUCGUCACAAACUCCUUUCCUUUCGACAUCAACAAACAAUCACAAGAGAAAAGUUAUGAACCGAUCUUCCGAUACUUAAAAUUAGAACAAUUCCUAACCCUUCCAGUCUUCCAUGUCGUGUUUGUUACUGUGUUCGUAGUUACCAAUAGCCAAGUAACUUUUCUCUCCCUUCUUCCGUAGCUAAAAAUAUUGUUGUCAUCGUAAUAUACAGCAGAAAAGGCACAAUUGUCGGACGUUUUGAGGUUAUGUUCAUUCCUAACUCUGUACCUUUCGUAUAAGGAUAGUGUAGUUACGAAUAGCCUUGUCAUUUCCCUUUCCCCUCUCUCAGAGCUAAAAAUAUCGUUGUCUACGUAAUAUAGGACAGAAAAGGCACGGAUAUCAGACGUACUGGUUAUAAUCAUUUCUAACUGUGUAUCUUUAGUAUUAAACCUGUUAGUGUACGUAAUAGCCUAGUUUCUUUCGCUCUGACCUGUUCUAUCACUAAAAAUAUCGGUCUUCGUAAUAUGGGGGGGGAAAAGGAACGGAUAUCGGACGUUUUGAGGUUACAAUCAUUCCUAAUUCUGCGUCGUUCGUAUAAGGAUAUCAGCAUUCGUAACAGCCUAGCAAUUUUCCUCUCCCUUCACUCGUAGGUAAAAAUCAGGGUUGCCUUCGAACAGUAAGAAGAAAUAGGCACAGACAUUGGACGCAUUCUAGUUAUGAUCAUUCCUAACUCUGUAUCUUACGUAUUAAACUCGUUAGUGUUCGUAAUAGCUUGAUUUCUUACGCUCUUCUCUCUUCUAUCGCUAGAAAUAACCGUUCUCUACGUAAUAUAUGACAGACAAGGCACAAAUCUCGGACGUUUUGAGGUUACGAUCAUUCCUAAUUCUGCGUCAUUCGUAUAAGGAUAUUAGCAUUCGUAAUAGCCUGGUAACUUUCCUCUCCCUUCUUCUGCAGUCAAAAAUAUCAUUGUCUUCGUGAUAUAGGACAGCAAAGCCACAAACAUCGGACGUAUUCAAGUCGUAAUCACUUUUAAGCCUUCAGUCUUUCGUAUUAGGCAAAGACAGACAUUCGCAAUUAACAUCAUUUCAAACUUUCAAUCAUACGUAAUUACCGAGACGAAAACAAUUGCUACGUAAACAUGAGCAGGCGUGAAGGUGGACUAUGCUAAGGCUAUGUAUGGUGUGCUUUCCCUUCGCAAAGACAGACAUACGUAAUUGAUAUCAUUUCAAACUUUCAGUCAUACGUAAUUACCGAGACGAAAACCAUUGGUACGUAUACAUGAGCGGGCGUGAAGGUGGACUAUGCUAAGGCUAUGUAUGGUGUGCUUUCCCUUCGCAAAGACAGAUAUACGUAAUUACCAUCAUUUCAAACUUUCAAUCAUACGUAAUUACCGAGACGAAAACCAUUGCUACGUAAACAUGUGUGGGCUUGACGGUGGACUAUGCUAAGGCUAUGUAUGGUGUGCUUUCCCUUCGCAAAGACAGAUAUACGUAAUUACUAUCAUUUUACUCUUUCCAUAAUAGUUUCUUACGCUCUUCCCUCUCCUAUCGCUAAAAAUAAUUGAUGUUUUCGUAAUAUAGGACAGCAAAGGCACGAACAUCGGACGUAUUCAAGUCGUAAUCAUUUUUAAACCUUGUCUUUCGUAUUAGGCAAAGACGGACAUACGUAAUUACUAUCAUUUUAAACUCUCCAUAAUAGUUUCUUACGCUCUUCCCUCUCCUAUCGCUAAAAAUAAUUGAUGUUUUCGUAAUAUAGGACAGCAAAGGGACGAACAUCGGACGUAUUCAAGUCGUAAUCAUUUUUAAACCUUGUCUUUCGUAUUAGGCAAAGACGGAUAUACGUAAUUACUAUCAUUUUAAACUCUCCAUAAUGGUUUCUUACGCUCCUUCCUCUUCUAUCGCUAAAAAUAAUUGAUGUUUUCGUGAUAUAGGACAGCAAAGGCACAGAUAUCGGACGUAUUCAAGUCGUAAUCAUUCUUUAACCUUGUCUUUCGUGUUAGGCAAAGACAGAUAUACGUAAUUACUAUCAUUUUAAGCUUUCCAUAAUGGUUUCUUACGCUCUUCCCUCUUCUAUCGCUAAAAAUAAUUGAUGUUUUCGUGAUAUAAGACAGAAAAGGCACGAACAUCGGACGUAUUCAAGUCGUAAUCAUUCUUUAACCUUGUCUUUCGUGUUAGGCAAAGACGGACAUACGUAAUUACCAUCAUUUCAAACUUUCAGUCAUACGUAAUUACUGAGACGAAAACAGUUGCUACGUAUACAUGUGUGGGCGUGACGGUGGACUAUGCUAAGGCUACAUAUGGUGUGCUUUCCCUUCCCUCUUUGUGACGUAGUUGUUCGAUGUUUUAACGAAGGCAAAACGAAGCCUUGGGUACAGCUGUCCGAGAAAACCUUAUUACUACGUGUGUGUUAGUAAAUGAAAGAGUAUAUGCAAUGACAUGAAGCAAU